rnacentral:tRNA from 1 species
UCCCAUAAGAAUCCAUUGACGGAUAACGGACUGUUAAUCCGCAGGUCCCAGGUUCGAGCCCUGGUCAGGGAG